rnacentral:rRNA from 1 species
GGGUGAGUAACGCGUAUGCAACCUACCUUUGACUGGAGAAUAGCCCGAAGAAAUUCGGAUUAAUGCUCCAUGAGACCACAAUACCGCAUGAUAUAGUGGUAAAAGCUCCGGCGGUCAAAGAUGGGCAUGCGUGCCAUUAGUUAGUUGGUGAGGUUACGGCUCACCAAGACAACGAUGGCUAGGGGGUCUGAGAGGAUGAUCCCCCACACUGGUACUGAGACACGGACCAGACUCCUACGGGAGGCAGCAGUGAGGAAUAUUGGUCAAUGGACGCAAGUCUGAACCAGCCAUGCCGCGUGCAGGAUGAAUGCCCUAUGGGUUGUAAACUGCUUUUCUACAAGAAGAAACUUCCUGAUGUAUCAGGAACUGACGGUAUUGUAGGAAUAAGCAUCGGCUAACUCCGUGCCAGCAGCCGCGGUAAUACGGAGGAUGCAAGCGUUAUCCGGAUUCAUUGGGUUUAAAGGGUGCGUAGGCGGGGUAGUAAGUCAGUGGUGAAAGCCUGCGGCUUAACCGUAGAAUUGCCAUUGAUACUGCUAUUCUUGAGUGCAGUUGAGGUAGGCGGAAUGUGUAAUGUAGCGGUGAAAUGCUUAGAUAUUACACAGAACACCGAUUGCGUAGGCAGCUUACUAAACUGUAACUGACGCUGAGGCACGAAAGCGUGGGGAGCGAACAGGAUUAGAUACCCUGGUAGUCCACGCUGUAAACUAUGAUCACUCGCUGUUGGCGAUACAUUGUCAGCGGCUGAGCGAAAGCAUUAAGUGAUCCACCUGGGGAGUACGGCCGCAAGGUUGAAACUCAAAGGAAUUGACGGGGGCCCGCACAAGCGGUGGAACAUGUGGUUUAAUUCGAUGAUACGCGAGGAACCUUACCUGGGCUUAAAUGCAGAACGACGUACCGGGAAACUGGUACUCCCUUCGGGGCGGACUGCAAGGUGCUGCAUGGUUGUCGUCAGCUCGUGCCGUGAGGUGUCGGGUUAAGUCCCAUAACGAGCCCAACAUCAUUGUUAGUUGCCAGUCGAGUAAUGU